rnacentral:misc_RNA from 1 species
AACUUUUGGCAACGGAUCACUUGGCUCUCGCAUCGAUGAAGCACGAAGAGAAAUGCGAUACGUAAUGUGAAUAGCAGAAUUCAGUGAAUCAUCGAACCUUUGAACGCACCUUGCGCCCCUAGGUAUUCCGAGGGGCACACCCGUUUGAAUGUCGUGAAAAUCUCAACCUUCUCGGUUUCUUCUGGAUGCCGAAGGAGGCUUGGACUUUGGAGGCCUUUGCUGGCGUCUCUCGCCAGCUCCUCUCAAAUGAAUUAGCGGGGUCCUCUUUGCCGAUCCUCGACAUGUGAUAAGAUGUUUCCAUGUCUUGGUUUCUGGCUCUGUUGCCUUUGGGACCCGCUUCUAACCGUCUCAACCUUGCAUCGAGACAAUGUUUGUGAGCGCGUCUCCCUUCUCGGGAAACACUCUCAAA